GGGGCAAAGGUUUUCCUUAUUAAUACAUAGAUGUAUUAUAUACAUAACUUUGUUUGGUUUUGCCUUGGCUAUUGCGAUGUAUGGGUAACAUGUUUUUGUGUCAAUGGGGAAAUCACAUUUCCGAGGUUCUAGAUUUCAGAAUUUCUUAGGGGAGAACCCCUAGACAUGCAAGGGCCUGUUCAUUUCAUCAGUCAGAAAAUUGUCUGUAUCUGCCCCUGCAAUGGCCCCUCCAGCAUCCCUGUUGAUAUGAACAACCAUGUGCAUUCUGGAGCAACAAAUGGCCAUGUAUGCAAGUCUGUAUUAAAAGCAUUAUAUGGUGGAUUACAUGUGGUUACACCCUGCUGGCAGAGCCUAUUAUACGAACUUGCGAAGUAAAAUAGGCUCUGCCAGCAGGGUGAUGUGGUUAAUAUUUUGUAUAUGUUUAUGUAUGCAAGGCAAUAGGGGGGGGGGGGGAUACCGAUUUUUUCGAACCAGGCCAAUUUGCAGGAGAUACCUAUUUUUCCACAAAUUUGAGGAGGAUAUAAAAACAACUAUAGUCAAAUUCCUCCUAUCCACCCCCUUCCGUUUUUAACGACCACAGCCUAACAAGAGAUAUUGGCAGCUACAAGACCCUCUUAAAGGGGCCCUACAGUCAUUUUUUAGUUGAAAAGCCACCUGAAGUAACUGUUUACAUUUU